ensembl:lncRNA
CCCCUUCGAUUUGAGAGUGGCCGCUUUGAUCGGUGACACAGCUCUCACCGGAGUGGUGGGAGCCCAUGAAGGGGACGCCGAUCAUCCCCAAGGUAAAUAUGCUGAAGUCAUAAAUGCUGUAAUUAUACGUGGUCAUACAAUUGGCUGCUUGCAAUACACAUAAGUCGCGUAAAGAUGCCAGGAUAUUAAAGACUUUGACUCGUGUUUAUUAACUUAAAUUUUUUAUUUUUGAAUAGACAAGCAAGGAGAGGGCACGGAUUCGGAUUUGACCAUUUGCGAUGUCCUCUAACAACGCUAACGCAGCCAUUUUUAAAACAAUUUUCUUCAUCCAUUGCGCAUGCUUUUAUAGCCACCCAUAUAAUUGCAAGGCGUGUUAAUUGUUCAUUAGUGUGUCUCUGAUGUGCAAAUCACUCUGAGUCAUUGUUUUCACCUUUUUUCCCAGUUUCCCAGCGUCACCUCUAAGUGUCGCCAAAGGAACAAUAGCUGUAGAAACAUGAUGCUGCUGGAUGAACGCCUGCCGUCUCUGCUGCCAUGGCGCCGUCAUCUGCUUCAUCUGCUUCAUCGGCCGCCAUCGUUGCGGUGACCUCUCCAUCAGAUGCUGGCGUGUGGUCGUCUGCUUCAUCCGAUGAUACUGCAGCUGCUCCCGUCUCCUCCACCAUUCCGCAGCCAUCUGCCUCCUGCUCUUCCUCUUUACGACCGGAAUUUACCAGGGCCUCCUCUCUCUGGCAAGUUGCGAUCCAACACCCUGCAGCCCUGUUGGAGCUCACCUCCGUACGUCUUUUUGUCAUAAUAUUUUUUUGCUCUGGCCUGUCCUUUCUGGUCCUCCUUUGAGGCUAGUUGGUAUGCCUCAGCCAUGCGCUUCCUCCAUCUUUCCGCAUACUCGCUGUGAGAACGACUCUCCUCCUCAUUAGGCUUCAGGCCAAACAUGAUGUCUACUUGGAAGCUGUGGACUCCUACCAAAGAGAAGGUAAUAGGGGGAGAAGCCGGUUGCUUCAUUCCGAGUACAAUUGUACGCAUGCACCACUUUGUUCAAAGAACUUUUUCAGUCACUCUUAACUUCUUCUGGCAGAGAUCUCAGCAUGGAAAUAAGGGUUCGGUUAAAUCUCUCCACCUGACCAUUUCCAGCUGGGUGAUAUGGUGUUGUGUGUGAGCCUUGAAUGCCGCAAUAUUCUUUGAGUUUGUAGAACAGCUUGUUCUCAAAUUCUCUGCCUUGAUCGUGCUGAGGCUUGGCGGGAAAGCCAAAUUUCAGCACAAAAUCAGCAAAAAAAACAAAACACUUUUUCAGCUGCAGUCUUGGCAGAUUUGUUGGUGCAUGCGUACGCCCAGGGCUGGACUGGGACCAAAAAAUGGCCCUGGCAUUUUUGGCCAUGGCAGCCCACUAUGAUUAUUUAUACGACAUGCGGAGGCACACAACAUACCAGAGGAUAUAUCCGCAUAUUGUGCUGUUUCAACAAUUAAAAUUAAGCGCAGUAGCCUACAUGGAAGAGAGUAACCAUGUUAAAAAUUGAUACGCUCUUUCACUAUACUUGCAGAGACUUUUGCAGCUAGGUCAAAUCCCCUCUGAAAUGACUAAUGCUUACAAUAUGUACAGUUUGAACCGUCUCACAAUCAGCAAAAAAUGCAAGAACACAGAACAGGAAGAAUACAAAAUAUAUGUAUUAUUUUAUUAAGGCCUACACUAACUAAAACACAACAAAUUAUAGCACAGUAAGUCAAAGUGGCACCCUAAAGUAUGAGAGAGAGAGAGAGAGAGAGAGAGAGAGAGAGAGAGAGAGAGAGAGAGAGAGAGAGAGAGAGAGAGAGAGAGAGAGAGAGAGAGAGAGAGAGAGAG